rnacentral:rRNA from 1 species
CCUACGGGAGGCUGCAGUGGGGAAUAUUGGACAAUGGGGGCAACCCUGAUCCAGCCAUGCCGCGUGUGUGAAGAAGGCCCUCGGGUUGUAAAGCACUUUCAGUGAGGAAGAACGCCUGGUGGUUAAUACCCAUCAGGAAAGACAUCACUCACAGAAGAAGCACCGGCUAACUCCGUGCCAGCAGCCGCGGUAAUACGGAGGGUGCGAGCGUUAAUCGGAAUUACUGGGCGUAAAGCGCGCGUAGGUGGCUGGAUAAGCCGGUUGUGAAAGCCCCGGGCUCAACCUGGGAACGGCAUCCGGAACUGUCAAGCUAGAGUGCAGGAGAGGAAGGUAGAAUUCCCGGUGUAGCGGUGAAAUGCGUAGAGAUCGGGAGGAAUACCAGUGGCGAAGGCGGCCUUCUGGACUGACACUGACACUGAGGUGCGAAAGCGUGGGUAGCAAACAGGAUUAGAUACCCUAGUUGUC